GGCAUAAGUAACGAUAAUGCGGGCGAGAAACCCGCACACCGAAAGACCAAGGUUUCCUCAGCUAUGCUAAUCAGCUGAGGGUUAGUCAGGACCUAACGCGAACCCGAACGGGGUAGUGGAUGGACAACGGGUUAAUAUUCCCGUACCUGCUCACACUAAAAGUGACGGAUCUCUGGAGUUGCUGCGUACUGACGGAAUAGUACGUUGAAGCAGUAAU
rnacentral:rRNA from 12 species